AAAAAAUCCUCAUUUCUCUACUAAACCUUAAGGGUGCACGGAGGGCGUCCACCACCGAACCGUGCCCCCGCCCGCGAGUUUGGCCACGGCGCGCGUCUUCCCCCCCCCCCCACGCGUCGCGCUGCCGUGAUGCCCGCCGCCCGCGCAAUCGACACCGCCCGCGAUCCCCCGGCGCGCGUCUUCCCCCCCCCCACACCCGCGAAUCACGCUCGCACGCGUCGCGCCGCCGUGAUGCCCGCCGCCCGCACAAUCCACAGCCGCCUCUGCAUCCGCCGCAAGAUCCCCCUGCGCUCGCAUGCCCCCGCUCGCCUGCGCCUCCCACGCCCACACACCCAGCCACCGCCGACCACGCUCGCGGAUCUCGCCCACAACAACGCGUGACCGAGCCCCCGCCGCGUCUCCUUCCAUCCUCGCGUAUACGUCGGCGUCUCCUUCCAUAUAUGCCAACGGAGGCGACCGCGGAGGCCGCUCCCCCGCGUGCACAACAUCCCACGUUCCCCUCUCCCCCCAGGUCCUACCGCAGCGCGUUGCUCAGUACCCCAGCCACUGCCCGCUAGCCCCCCCCCCCGCCACACACACACACCCAUCCUCGCCGGCCUCAGCACCGCAAACGACGUCCGCGCGUCACUUCCCCGCCCUUCAAUGGUGUCCUCCUCCCCAUCACUCGGGGGCAGCAAGGCGACCGAUGGGGACGUGUCCAACUUCACUGCCUUCCUCCAGGCCUCACCGAAGUCAUUCGUGGUCGUCGAGUUCUUCACCCACUGGUGCAAUGGUCACCAGCCCAGAAGGUCAUGGUCGACCCACGCGAUGCAACCCAAUUGGAUGAAGCUGGGUUUAGGGGCCUUCUUCGUUGGUUUGACUGAGUUUCUUCUUAGUUAAAUAAAGUGGGGCAAUAUUUUCUCACCGACUUCACAAAGCCGACCAUGGCAGAUGUUAUCGGUUUCGAUCUAGGCACACCGAAUUCAUGCAUCUCCGUAUUGGAAUGAAAGCUCCAUCUGCUGUUCUGGAGGAUGGAACAACAGUGGUGGUCAAGAGAUUGAAGGAAGUGGUGGCGGGAAUGAGGGAAUUUGAACAGCAGAUGGAGCUAAUUGGCAAGGUUUGCCAGCAUCAGAACACUGUCCCAUUGCGUGCUUACUACUACUCCAAGGAUGAGAAGCUCUUGGUGUAUGUCCCACUAGGUAGCCUUUGUGCUGCUUUGCAUGGUAACAAAGCUGCUGGAAGAACCCCAUUGGACUAGGAGACCAGGGUGAAGAUAGCUCUGGGCACUGCACGCGGAAUGGCUUACCUUCACUCCAUGGGUAGCGGCGGGAAGUUCAUUCACGGGAACAUGAAGUCAAGCAACAUCCUUCUCUCAUAGGAACUCGGCGCCUGCGUCACCGAGUUCGGCCUUGCCCAGCUCAUGUCCACGCCCCACGUCCACCCACUGCACGCGGAAUGGCUUACCUUCACUCCGUGUGUCUCAAGUAUGAACGCUUAUGCUUUUCUGGAUCAAUUGAAAUGUCUUUCAUCUUCUAUGACUAUGCAUGUGUUUUUCAAGCAAUACUUGGUACUCGAGCAUCAGAGAUCAUAAAGCUUGUUCCUUUUUGUCUCCAUUUAUCAGUCGAGGGGGAGUCACCAACGAACGACCCACAAUUGGUAAGCCUCGUUAUUCGACUGGAUUUUUUAUUUCACCUCUAGAGAAUACUUCUCAUUACCUAACUGCUUUGUUCUCUUGCCAUUUCUGAUUCUGUUGUUAUGAUACUGAUGGAAUCCUCAUUCGCCGCUGCUAAGGAGUUUGAGCAGGACUAGAGAGGAGACGUCAGUUCUUCCUCCUCCGCUCAGUGCGACCAUUCUCCCUGUCCCUCAACUCUGAACUCUUAGAACAAUGAUGAUCACUGCCACUCCCCGCUCAUUUUUUCUGAAGGGGAAAUAUCCAUCUUCUUGUUGUUUUGUACUAAAACGUCUAUAAUUUGGAACAGAGGAAGUACUAAAAAUGAACAGAAGCAUCACUAUACAGUAUUUUGCAGAAUAUGCUGAAGAAAGGUUAUAAGCUGAUGCUGUCAAAAUAUUUUUUUUGGCAAGGCAGUACAUUGGAGGGGAAAUACCAGAAGCUUGGAGCUCUGCCCUGACUUUCUUGAUCGGCUUGCCAACUGGCUUGUAUUCAUCACCGAAAACCAUUUCUUGUCUUGAGUGUAUUGGUAAAUAAUUUCUGUCAACCUCAAGAUUUUCCUUCAGAGGAUAAGAAGGUGAACAAGAAGCUGACAGCCAAGCUGACCCUAUACUCAGGAUGUGUUGUGCCUUCUGGUGGUGAAACCGUCUCUUUAAGCAACUGAACUGCUUUAAGUAUAACAGAAGAGCUCAGUGAUUUACCCUUUAGAAAAUCCUCUACCUUGCUAGCUCUGAUGGCAUGGUCAGCUCCAUAAGCACCGAACACCAAGCAUAUAUCCUCCAUGAUGUUCUUCCCUGAAGCUGCAUCAGUUGAAGUCCUUGCCAAGAGAGCAGCAUUGACAUAUGAAGCAGCAUUGCCAAAUGGCCGAGGCGCUGCCCGGAAUGUCUCAAAGGUGAUGCCAUCUCAAUCCCACUUUGGGAUGAAUAUGCUGAUCAGCAGGGUCCUAGAAUCACAUGGAGACUGCUGCAAGAACUCCUCCAAAGUAAGGCACAACCUUUUUGGAAGCCGUCUGGAUUGUGACUGUUGUACCUGCAGCCAGUAGCACAGUUGCUAUGUCUGACUCGAAUGGCAACCUCUGCGCCAUGAUUAUGUUGCCACCUAUGGUUGCUGUGUUCCGAACAAAUGGCGAAGCCACUUUGCUUAGGUGAUUGGCAAUUUUUCUGAAGACCAGAUUUCCAUCUGACAACACCUCAAUGGUUGUAGCCUGUAGAGAUGGACACAACCGAUCCAAGCUCAAUUCCCUUAACGCUGCUGUUGAUGACUGAUAGCUCUGGUAUUCCUUUGAUGUCAAUGUACUUGUCAUAGAGGUCCUGAUCCAUGUGUAAGGGAGUUCACUGCCACUCCCCGCUCAUUUUUUCUAAAGGAGAAAUAUCCAUCUUCUUGUUGUUUUGUACCGUUGGAUACUUUAGCAUCAUUCUCAUACUACUAGGAGUGUAGGUAAGGAGUCCACACAUGAGUUUGUAAACACCAUGUGUAAGGGAGUUCACCAACGUGAUGUGCCUCACCUACAGGGGUGCUGCUUUGUCACCACCCUUGUGCCUUGUCCAGGUGCUACUUACUAGCCUCUUAUUUUGUUUCUGAAUUCAGGAUCUUAUGCUGGUCCUACAAGUAACAUUAAAGCACUUCCCUCCCUGUUGGCAUUAAAACCCCUGGCGUGGUUGUUGUGUUGUACUAGACAACCAUCACUUCCAAUUUGUUGUAGUAGCUUUUUCUUGCUACUUCAUGGAUCUUGGGUCUUCGGUUGUUGAGUUAUUUGCUUCAGCAAUUGGGCUUCUGACUUAGAGCUUUUGGAUUUGUAAGCAUUGCUGGUUGUCUUGAAGAAGAUGAUGGUGGGCUCUUCCCACCACUAGCAGCUAUAGAGGAAGGGGAAAUCUGUGGCUGACAAGGGCCCGCCGCCGCAACUGUGGUGGCAGAGAAGGUGGUGGCACAGUUAGGGCAGCCACAAGACCCCAUCAUCUGGGCGAGGCGGUAGCAUCAUACUUGUCAUCAUCCUGUCACAUAGCUUUGGUAUUAUUUCUGGUUUUUGGCUCAUGUGCAUGUUUGUUGGUAUCACUAAUCAUUUUCACUUUAGUUACAAUGAUCGCCUAAAUCCAUGGUUUUUAUUGCCUAUAGUUGUUAAUGUUUCUAUGGUUUUGCAGUAGUUACCUAAAAACUGAAAGUAUAUGAACACUUCUCUAUUUCAGACAAAAAGUUUUGGGGAUUUAUGCUGUUCGUUGGAGACUGUACAUGUGGCCAUAAGUCUAUGUUGGAUCAGAAAUGUGAUUUAUUAUAGUUAAGAAAAUUGAUGUGUAUGAUAUAGACAUUUGAGCUGGGGCUAAUGCCUGUUUACAUCUUAUUAUUGUUGUUGUAUGCUUGUGUGCUUAAUUUGUUGUUUCUAUAGAUUAAUGUGAGGUAUAAUCUUGUUUUCGGCUCUCCUGAUGUUGUAGCUGUUGAGUGCAAGAAAUCACAUGCAAGCUGGGUUGUGUUAGACAACAUUUGAAGCAUGAGGAGAAGCAUUGUGGGGGAGAAGCUUCAGUGCAACAUUGUUGUUGUAUAGGGAUUAACAUCCUCAAGAUCACUUGGAAAACUUUCACAAAAAAACUCGUAAUGCAAGCAUAUGUUUUAUUGGAAAAGUUUUUCAAGCUAGAUUUCUGAAAGCCUCCUCACUGCUUUAGUUAUGCUGAAUUGGAAUUUGCAGCUAGGGGUUUCUCACAAGUAAAUUUCUUAGCUAAAGGUGGAUUUUGGUCUGUUCAUUGACAUGUCCUUUCUGAUGGUGGCGUUGUUUGUUAGCUACAAAAUCAUCAAUCAAAGAUUGUAAUUAUAUUGCGUCAUUGUUUUGUAUCAAUUUUAAGUUGCCGUAGCAA